rnacentral:rRNA from 1 species
CACGUAGGGGACGAGCGUUGUCCGGAUUCAUUGGGCGUAAAGCGCGCGUAGGCGGCUCGGCAAGUCGGUCGUGAAAUGCCGGGGCUCAACCCCGGGACUGCGUCCGAUACUCCCGAGCUGGAGGCAGGUAGGGGAGAUCGGAAUUCCUGGUGUAGCGGUGAAAUGCGCAGAUAUCAGGAGGAACACCGGUGGCGAAGGCGCUCAUCUGGCCCAAUACUGACGCUGAGGCGCGAAAGCUAGGGGAGCAAACGGG